rnacentral:snRNA from 1 species
GUCUUUUUAGGGACAUCCAACAAAAUUGGAACAAUACAAAGAAGGUCAGCAUGGCCCCUGCGUUAAAAAAGGAUGUCUUUUUCCUUUCAUGAUAACCCUUUUUUU